CAGAAUUCUUUGGGGGAAGCCAUGACUGUUUAGAGUGAUAUGAAAAUGUUUAAUUGUAUAGUUCGGAUGGGGCUUUAUAUUGCAAGACUGGAAGGACAAAUACCCACCACCUACUGCUCAGUGAUCUGACAAUCUCACUGCUCUUCGAGGUUUGAACGCAUGUCUUAUAAUUGUUAAUCUCAUUUCGAUACUGCCUUUAUAAAUUUAUACAGUCAUAUCUCUUGUUAUGUUUGCUUCAGGUUAAAUCUUUUCAGGUUGCGUCCCGCGGCGACCCGGAAGUACUGGAAAGGGUUACUUCCAGGUUUCGCCACUCACGUAUGCGCAGAUGCUCAAAAUGAUGUCUCGUGCAUGUGCAGAAGCGGCGAAUUGCGACCCGCGUAUGUGCAGACACGGGUUGCGUUCUGCUCAUGUUGCGAAUGGGGCUCCGGAACGGAUCCCGUUCGCAACCAGAGGUACCACUGUACAUUCAAAUUAGGAUUGAUGGGUUUUUAUUGUUAAUAUUCUUACUGCCCCACCCUAAGAGCAUCUGAGAUCUGAGUGUGGCCUGGGAUGCACAAGAAUAGAUCUGGUCCUUGUCUAUGAAUGAGUGGUAAAACUCAGAUAAGAUCAAGACAGUCCACUCAAAGUGAGCAGCCACAGACCCUUGGCUUGCAUGAACAGGGGUGUCCUUGACUGUCCUCAGGAUUUCAUGAUGGUCUCUACACAGAAGGAAAGGAAGAGGAAAAUUUAAAGUAAAGACAGAUGAAGGAAGGAUUGGACUUAGAAGGCCACGAUAACAGAUUUGGAUGGCAUGCAUAUUUAUGGUAUGGGAAAGGAAAAGUACAUAAAGGAUUCUAUAAUCAUAUAAUUAGGAAAUCAUUAAUGAGGGUGUGGGAGAGAUACAAAGACUUACUAGAACAAAAGACACCUUGGCGGCUCUCACCAAUUGAAGCUUUGCUGCUCAAGCCAUUUGGCAAGAAAGGGAAGUGGCUUACAUAUAGUGAUUUGCUAAAAGAACAAGAAGGGAAAUGGAAAUUAAAAGAGUAUGAGGAAAUAAAAGAUCAUUUUCAGAGUUGGCUACACUAUAGGCAAUUACAUGAGAUCUAUAAAAAAGAUAACAAGAAAGGAUUUAGUUAUACUACUAGAUUUCAAAAGGAAGUCAUAGAAGGGAAAAUGAAAUUGCUGAUGGGUGCAUAUAGUAUUCUGUUAGAAUGGGAAACAAAAGAGGUGAAAUCGCUCAUGAUCAAAGGGGCACAAGAUAUAGGGCAUAAUAUACAAUUUGAAGACUGGGAAAAACUGUGGAAAAUAGAUUUAAAAUUUACAGACUGCUCUCUUUUGAAAGAAAAUUACAUGAAAAUGAUGGACAGAUGGUAUAUCACACCACUAUAGAUCACAAAAAUGUAUAAAACUGGGUCAAAUAUACGUUGGAAAUGUAAAGAAAAGGAAGGGACCUUUUACCAUAUGUGGUGGGAAUGCAGAGAAAUUUAAAAAAAUUGGGAAAUGAUAUAUAAUGAGUUGAAGAAAAUGUUUAAAAUGACAUUUGUAAAAAAACCAGAAGCAUUUUUGUUAGGGAUUGUUGAACAAGACAAGAACAAGAAAAAUUAAGAAUUUGUUUAUGUAUGCAAAGGCGGCGGCAAGAGUCUUGAUAGCACAAGGAUGGAAGAAUGAGGAAAUCCCGACAAAAGAACAGUGGCAAGAGAAAUUAAUGAACUAUGCAGAACUGGCGAAACUGACAUGUAAAUUGCGAGAUAAAGACAACUGUGACUUUAAAGAAGAAUGGGAACCUUUUACAGUCUACUUAAAAAGACAACAAAAUGAAUUGGACUCCUUGGCAGGUUUCGAAUAAACAUACACAAAUUUAUUGGGUUAAUAUGAUGGAUAGAUAAUAUAAGGAUGUAUACAAUUUUAUAAUAUGCAGAGAACAAUAUGAGUUGAGAAAUCAGAGAGAGGAG